rnacentral:rRNA from 1 species
UACAGAGGGGGCAAGCGUUGUUCGGAAUUACUGGGCGUAAAGGGCUCGUAGGCGGCCAACUAAGUCAGACGUGAAAUCCCUCGGCUUAACCGGGGAACUGCGUCUGAUACUGGAUGGCUUGAAUCCGGGAGAGGGAUGUGGAAUUCCUGGUGUAGCGGUGGAAUGCGCAGAUAUCAGGAGGAACACCGGUGGCGAAGGCGGGUCUCUGGGCAGUAACUGACGCUGAGGAGCGAAAGCGUGGGGAGCGAACAGG